CGAUGAAUGGCAAAACGACCCUUGGUGUCACAGAUCAGAUGGAAAUUCUCUCCAGUCUUCUCAAUGCUGAUGAUAUCCCUAAAACCAGCAGGGAGAGAUGAGGAAAGACUGGAAAUGUGAGAAGGAGCAAGAAGCUACUCUAAGAACCCACUGAACAGUUCUGGAGUGGUCCUCAGCAGCGCCCACAUGGCAUGACCUCCUUAAGUCAUCAGGAGGAAGGGCAACCUCCACCCAACUCAGAGUCCAUGAGGGGAAGAGCCCACUUGCAUGAUCAUUAUUAGAUUCUCAGUGCCUGACACAAUACUUGAUUCAGAGAAGAUGCUCAACACUUGUUUGCAGAAGAAGAAAGGAAGAAGGAAAGGAAGGAAUGGAGGAAGAAAGGAAGGGAGCAAAUCCUUAAUAUAUAAGGCACGUUUAUAUAUCCAAUCAUUCCAAAGGCAGUACAACCAAUCAUAUAAUACAAGCAUACCUCAGAGAUACUGUGGGUUGGGUUCCAGAUCACCACAAUAAGGAAUAUAUUGCAAUAAAUAUGGCAGCAAAGCGAGUCGCAUGAAUGUUUUGGUUUCCCAGUGCAUAGAAAAGUGAUGUAGACACUAUACUGUAGUCUAUUAAGUGUGCAACAUUCUUACGUCUAAAAAACAUACUUGCAUUGACUGCAAAAUUCUUUAUCGCUAAGAAAUGCUAACCAUCCCUUGAGACUUCGGUGAGGCAUAAUCUUUCUUCAAUGGUGAUAUCAAAGAUCACUGUUCACAGAUCAUCAUGCAAAUAUAAUAAUAAUGAAAAAAUUUGAAAUGUGACACAGAGACAUGAAGUAAGCAAAUGCUGCGGGGAAAAUGGUGCCGAUAGACUCGCUCAACACAAGGUUGCCACAGACCUUGAACUUGUAAAAAGUGCAAUAUCAGUGAAGCGCAGACAAAGCAAAGUACAAUAAGAUGAGGUAUAUCUGUACUAAGCACAACUUUAAAAUACAUAAUUUCAGGAAAUCCACUGUAAAAUGUAUAGGCAUGACAAGUGCCACUGAUGGAGAGAAUACGUUUAAUGAUUAAAAGUGUCUCAGUCUCCA